ACAUGCAAGUCGAGCGGACAGAUGGGAGCUUGCUCCCUGAUGUUAGCGGCGGACGGGUGAGUAACACGUGGGUAACCUGCCUGUAAGACUGGGAUAACUCCGGGAAACCGGGGCUAAUACCGGAUGGUUGUUUGAACCGCAUGGUUCAGACAUAAAAGGUGGCUUCGGCUACCACUUACAGAUGGACCCGCGGCGCAUUAGCUAGUUGGUGAGGUAACGGCUCACCAAGGCGACGAUGCGUAGCCGACCUGAGAGGGUGAUCGGCCACACUGGGACUGAGACACGGCCCAGACUCCUACGGGAGGCAGCAGUAGGGAAUCUUCCGCAAUGGACGAAAGUCUGACGGAGCAACGCCGCGUGAGUGAUGAAGGUUUUCGGAUCGUAAAGCUCUGUUGUUAGGGAAGAACAAGUGCCGUUCAAAUAGGGCGGCACCUUGACGGUACCUAACCAGAAAGCCACGGCUAACUACGUGCCAGCAGCCGCGGUAAUACGUAGGUGGCAAGCGUUGUCCGGAAUUAUUGGGCGUAAAGGGCUCGCAGGCGGUUUCUUAAGUCUGAUGUGAAAGCCCCCGGCUCAACCGGGGAGGGUCAUUGGAAACUGGGGAACUUGAGUGCAGAAGAGGAGAGUGGAAUUCCACGUGUAGCGGUGAAAUGCGUAGAGAUGUGGAGGAACACCAGUGGCGAAGGCGACUCUCUGGUCUGUAACUGACGCUGAGGAGCGAAAGCGUGGGGAGCGAACAGGAUUAGAUACCCUGGUAGUCCACGCCGYAAAGGAUGCUAAGUGUUAGGGGGUUUCCGCCCCUUAGUGCUGCAGCUAACGCAUUAAGCACUCCGCCUGGGGAGUACGGUCGCAAGACUGAAACUCAAAGGAAUUGACGGGGGCCCGCACAAGCGGUGGAGCAUGUGGUUUAAUUCGAAGCAACGCGAAGAACCUUACCAGGUCUUGACAUCCUCUGACAAUCCUAGAGAUAGGACGUCCCCUUCGGGGGCAGAGUGACAGGUGGUGCAUGGUUGUCGUCAGCUCGUGUCGUGAGAUGUUGGGUUAAGUCCCGCAACGAGCGCAACCCUUGAUCUUAGUUGCCAGCAUUCAGUUGGGCACUCUAAGGUGACUGCCGGUGACAAACCGGAGGAAGGUGGGGAUGACGUCAAAUCAUCAUGCCCCUUAUGACCUGGGCUACACACGUGCUACAAUGGACAGAACAAAGGGCAGCGAAACCGCGAGGUUAAGCCAAUCCCACAAAUCUGUUCUCAGU
rnacentral:rRNA from 1 species